GCGGUGAUGGAGGCUGGACGUGCUGCGGCGGAGAGACCGACACCAACGCGCGUGGAGCUUCAUUUACGGUUUUACAAGCCUGGACUGGAUAUAUCUUGGUAAGGGGAACACUGCAUGAACAGCUGCUGCAUUGUCUGUUGUGUUCACAGUAGAGGGGCUAUUUGAAAGUUUGCUUCCUGAAAAUAUGGUAAUGGUAAAGCUCUAAAUAGUCUUGUGACAUGAGAUGAACUGUGAAAUUCACUAAUAAAGCAUUAUUUAAGUAUAAAACUGUAUUGUCUUAAUUUGCAGAUCAUUAGCGGUUGUACAAAAUGUAUGGGGGUUCAUCAG